rnacentral:misc_RNA from 1 species
CACGAAGGCAGUUCUGUCGCAAGCUUCGCCGCGGCCGGACGUGCAAGUGGGGUGGCAUGCGCGCCGGGGUGAAACUUGCAAGCUCCCCCUUUAUCGAGCUUGCAGAUGGCUGUGCCUUUUAGAUUUUGACGUGUCCCUCCGUUCCUUUCCGUUCGUUCGUUCGUACGUUUCGUAGUGUAACAUUUCGACCGCUUGACUCUUCGCUCGCUUUAUCGUUCUCGCCACUCCCUGACGAUCAGCGAUCUUCGACAUGCCUAGGAAAGUCGGAUUCAACGUCGUCUACGCCACGAGCGAGGAGGACAGACACUCGUCGUUAGAGCUUAACGUCCACGGGCCGACCGUGAGAGGUUGGCAGAGCGCAAGAAAUUGCACGUAUCCUCAGGAACUUAUUCUACGUCUUCAUGGGCCCACGAAACUCACGAGGAUACAAGUCCUAGCGCAUCAGUAUCUCAUACCCGAGAAACUGGAGAUCUGGACAUCGAGGGAGGAAAAUGCAUCCGCUUCGACGGACUUCAGUUACCUGGGCUACAUCACGCUGUCCGAUAACGCUUCUACCCUUUACAAGAGCAGAGAACUGAAAAGCGUGGCUCUUCCGGAGACAGAAGCGGUGUCGUUGAAGCUUAGGCUACAUAAACCGCACAGUAACGCGCACAACACUUGCUGUCAGGUUGGCCUUAUCGCUAUUAAUAUACUUGGCGAACCUUAUGGUCAAGAAUUAACCGGGCAAGGGGAUGCCCCGUAUAAUCCGCAUUACACCUCGCCUUACGACGAUCUAGCGUUCGAAAUGUACGUCGACCGAGAAGUGGCCAAGAUCAUCAGACAAAUGGAAGCGAAGAAACUGCAGGCGGUGGAAGAGGAGAGAUUCGAAUACGCCUCGAAGUUGAAGGUCGCGAUGGAGAAUCUGCGAAAGGCAGGCGAACGUCUGGGUAAAUAUGAGCUGGAGAAGAAGUACGCCAUUGCUCUGGAAGACUAUGACAAGGCCAAGGCUAAGAAGGCCCAAGCCCAGCAGUAUCGACAACAGGUCUAUCAGUCGUUGGAGAUAUACAACUUGCUCGAGGUACACGGACCCAUGGAGAAGAACAACCUGUCGUCUGUGGAGGGUAAAGAACCGAUAUCGACGGACACGUGUACCUCCAACACGGCGGCGGUGGUUCCUGACGACAUCACGUCCCCCCCGAGACUAGUUAUACCACCUAAUCGCGACGGUGCCUUGUCACCGACUGGUCCUGCACACCAGCCGCCCGUGUCGCCGUUACAUCAGAAGCCCAACAGUCCUGAGGUAACUGAUAGCCCAACGAACGGUGUUCUUGAGAGACAAAGCAAUUGCAAUAAAGGAUCUCUCAGGCGGAAAACUAAGUCAGCGGGUCCUGCCCUUCGCUCAAGCUACGAAGCCUACGAGGAGAGAACUAUCCCUGCUCUGAGACACUCGCACACGAACGAGUUCACGAGGGAAUGUCACUUGGACAGCGCAGAAACGAAAGUUACCUCGAAACUGAACGACCGGGAGAAGAAACAGGCUGCGUUGCCCAUCGCGGUCUUCGGCAUGGACAUGGUAGAGAAGUUUUAUUCGAAACAAUUUACGGACAAAGAGGAGGGACUGAUGCAACUGAAGGAAGAACUGAAGACGUUCGACCCAGAGGUAUCGAAACAUUCGCCGAAUAAGACAGCCAGAGCGGCAAUCUUACUGUUACACAGGGCUCUUAGGGAUAAAGUCUUCAGCGUGUAUAGCUUGGCGGCACAGCUCAUUAGGAUCUUCUUCGCUGAAUUCGCGGCGGACAGGGUAUCUUCAACGGAGAUCGCCAGAAGCGUCGAACGUCUGUUACCCGAACUUCUAACAAAAUCCGGGGAUACUACCCCUAGAAUACACAACAUGGCAGUACACACAAUCCUCAGCAUGGCUGAUUGCAAAUGCGUUCGUGAAUUACAUAUAAUACCGGUGCAUCUGACCAGGCCAGUGAACAGCAGCACUCAUCAGAGGCUGGCACUGAGCAGACUGGAGAUGGUGGAGCAGCUGAUACUGAGCCACGGUAUCUCCACCGAGAAGCAAAGGUAUUGUAAUUGUUGUAGCGGGCUGACCUGUCGGACGUUAUCCGAAUUAGGUUCUUCCGGUCUGCAUCAUCCGGCCGAGGCGGUACGGAAAGUAUCCGAGAGGAUUUUAGUGUUAGUGUACAAAGUCAAUCCCAGGUUGGUGCGAAAGCAAUUGCCGCCUGACGAUGACAUCACUCGACGAAAUCUAUUAUAUCGCCAGCUCUUCCACGAAUUCGAUCUGAUCGAUUUGCAGAGGAAGAAGGAAGCCGAGUCCACCCAUAAAGCAACGACAACGCCUACACGAACUAAAUCUACGGAAAAUAAUGUAACUAAUCUAACUAAAUCACCGUCGAGAUCGAGCCCGGUCGUGAGUACCGGAAGUUCAACGAGUAUCACAUCUCCGUCCGAGAACAGCGCCGAUCAUAAAGGAGAUAAGGUCAAGUGUAUUCUGAAGAAGGUUUGAAUAUACAUUACUGGAGGACUUGCCCUAUGUUAACAAAAUGCGAAGCAUGUAAACAGGUCGUAGAGAUAUCCUAUCUGAAUCUACAUUUGUUAAAUGAAUGCGAUAUGAGGAGUAAUUAUGUGAAAUGCGAGACGUGUAAACAAGCGGUGCACGAAAACGCUUUCGAGAACCACAGACAGGACAAGAAGUGCACAA